GGUCAAGCGGUGGAGGAAUUCAGAAACCAAAUAAGAAAAAUGAUUCUCCAAAUGAGGUGAAAUUUUAAUAAAAAGAUUUCAUGUAAAUGUCCAGGAAGGAAGAAAGUCAUAUGCCCAAACAAAAGUUCAUUCACCUCACCAGAGGAAUUAAAAUGAGUUUUAUUUUAACUACAUUUCUGCAAGAAUAUGCUUUAUUUUAACUACUUUGCUUCUCAUCAUGAUGUUAUA
rnacentral:lncRNA from 1 species